rnacentral:rRNA from 1 species
GGCCGACGGCACGGGUGAGUAACGCGUAUCCAACCUGCCCUUUACUAUGGGACAGCCCGUCGAAAGGCGGAUUAAUACCGUAUGUUGUCAUGUUGAUGCAUAUUUUCAUGACCAAAGGCUUCGGCCGGUAAAGGAUGGGGAUGCGUCUGAUUAGCUUGCCGGCGGGGUAACGGCCCACCGGGGCGACGAUCAGUAGGGGUUCUGAGAGGAAGGUCCCCCACAUUGGAACUGAGACACGGUCCAAACUCCUACGGGAGGCAGCAG